CCUACGGGUGGCAGCAGUGAGGAAUAUUGGUCAAUGGCCGCGAGCCUGAACCAGCCAAGUAGCGUGAAGGAUGACUGCCCUACGGGUUGUAAACUUCUUUUAUAAAGGAAUAAAGUGAGGCACGUGUGCCUGUUUGUAUGUAUUUUAUGAAUAAGGAUCGGCUAACUCCGUGCCAGCAGCCGCGGUAAUACGGAGGAUCCGAGCGUUAUCCGGAUUUAUUGGGUUUAAAGGGAGCGUAGAUGGGUUGUUAAGUCAGUGGUGAAAGUUUGCGGCUCAACCGUAAAAUUGCCAUUGAUACUGGCAGCCUUGAGUACAGUUGAGGUAGGCGGAAUGCGCAGUGUAGCGGUGAAAUGCUUAGAUAUCACGCAGAACUCCGAUUGCGAAGGCAGCCUACUAACCGGCCACUGACAUUGAUGCUCGAAAGUGUGGGUAUCAAACAGGAUUAGAUACCCCAGUAGUC
rnacentral:rRNA from 1 species